rnacentral:rRNA from 1 species
CGUGUAGGCGGUUCGGUAAGUCUGCUGUGAAAGUCCAGGGCUCAACCCUGGGAUGCCGGUGGAUACUGUCGGACUAGAGUACCGAAGAGGAUAGUGGAAUUCCAGGUGUAGUGGUGAAAUACGUAGAUAUCUGGAGGAACACCGGUGGCGAAGGCGGCUAUCUGGUCGAGUACUGACACUGAGACACGAAAGCAUGGGGAUCAAACA